CCUCAUUAUUAAUGUUCUAAGUUUCCUUCUAAUAUCAUUUGCCUUUUGUUUUCGGAACUUCAUUUCAAAAAUUUUUAAGAGCGGGUAUUCUGAUAAUUAAUUCUCUUAGUUUUCCUUCAUCUGCGGAUGUCUUUAAGUCACUUUCUUUCUGGGUGAAUAUUUUCACUGGACAUAGAAUUCCAAGUUGAGGGUUGUUUUCUUUCAGUCCUUUCAAAUUGCAACAUUCCCACUGUCCUCCACAGUAUCUGAUAAGAAAUCCUCAGUCAUUUACUUUAAAUUGUCAUCUCCCAAAGGUAAUGCACUGACUUUCUCUUGAUGGUUUCAAGGCAUAUGUUGUCUUUUAGUUUUCACUGAUACAUGUUAUGGUUUGGAUAUAAGGUAUCUACCAAAAGCUUCUGUUAAUGCAGGAAUGUUCAGACUUGAGAUGAUUGGCUUGUGAGAGAUGAAACCUAAUCAGUCUAGCCUAAUUUGAGUGGACUAACUGGGUGGUGACUGUAGGCAGGUGUGACAUGGAUGGAGGAGGGGAUCAGUGAAGAUGUCACUUCCUAGUAGUCCCUUCCCAUGCUUUCUCUCUCUGCUUCCUUAUUGCCAUUAGGAGACAGCUUCCUUCCACCAUACCCUUUCCCCAUAAUGUGCUGCUUCACAUUGGGCCCAGAGUAGUGGACUUGAUUGACUAUGGACUGAAACCAUUGAAACUGUGAUGCCCAAAUUAACUUUUUCUCCUCUAAGAUGUUCUUGUCAAAUACUUUGGUCACAGCAAUGGGAAAGCUGACUAAAACAAUAAGCUUAAGCUUAAAUUGUGGAGGGUUCCUUCUAUUUGAUGUGUACUAAUCUUCUUAAAUGUGCAUGUCUAUGUCAUUGGCCAAGCUUAAAAUAUUUUCAGCAAUUACUUCUUUAAAUAUUGCCUCACAUGGCACGGCUUCCCUUCUCAUAUCUCCUUUAAUGACAAGAGUGUUAAAACUUUUGUUUCUCCAUGUAUUCCUAAGUUUUGGUACUCUUUCAAUACAUUUUCAUUCAGAUUUGAUAAUGCUUUUGUUGUGGAUUAAAUAUAUGUUUCCCCAACAUUAAUUUGUUGAAAUACUCAUUCCCAAUGUGAUGUGAUGACAUUAGGAAGUAAAGGUUUUGAGAGGGAAUCAGAUUUAGACAAAGUCUUGAGGUGAAGCUUCAAUGAUGGGUUUAUUGCCCUUGUAAUCAAGGGAAAUUUCAAUUCUUCUGUUGCUUAAUAAGUUCAGUGACUCAAGAAAUAGGGGGACAGGAGAAGAAAGAGCUUUACUCAGUGGUCAAAGAAUAGAGAUGUGGGAGCUUUGCUCACAGAACAACUUCUUAACUAAAGGGAAAUUAGGAGUUACAGAUACAGGGUAUGAAUGAUGAAGGAUAUAGAGACUCAUAAAGGGAAGGAAUACCCAUGUGUUUUCUGGGAAUAGGUAGAGAUUUUCUAGCCACUCAAGUAGCACCUCUUUUUUCUCCUUUUAAAGUCUGUGUUUUCCAGUUAUGCCAUGACUUAGUCCAAUGGUUAAGGCCACAGAGAAAAUAGACAUGAUAUGAAGACAGAAAUGUCAAGCUUUUUCAUCUUGUUCCCAUCACCCUAUCAGACACCUGCAUGCCCCAAGUGAAGAGUCAGCCUUUUCAGCAAAAGCAGACUUCAAGUUCCUAAAACAGUAACCCAGGCAACUGUUCCCAUCACAACCCACACGGCAGAGGUGCUUCCAUAGUAAUAAAGCUAGUGCGAAACUAAUAACAUAUUGCUCAGCUCUCUGACCUCCAAAAUUAGUGAUUUUUAACACAAUUGAGCACAAGCGAUGCUAGAGGGUUUUAUUGAUUUUUUCUCAAUAACACCUUUAUAAAAAGAAAAAAGAGAUGCCCCCUCCAUACACACACAAAGUAAAGAUGCAGUAGAACAGUAUCUGUCUGCAAAACAUAAAAAGAGCCCACACCAAGAACCAAAUCUGAGGUACCUUGAUUGUGGACUUUUCAGACUCCAAAACAGAGUGACAUAAAUGUCUGUUGUUGAAGCCACAUAGUCUAUGGUAUUUUGUUACAGCAGCCAGAGUUGACUAAGACAGUAUUUAAUCUACCUGAAAGUUAACACUUCUUGUCAUCUCUGUUGUACUAAGGAGUGUAAAUUUUGUUUAGUCAUUAUAUUUCUAUUUCUUAGAUUUGAUUUUCUUUAUGCCUCCUAUUUGCUGAUACUUUGCAUCUUUCUAUUCAUUUAAACUUAAGUUCACAAUUAUAUGUUGAAUUAUAUUAAAUAAAAAUAUUUAUUUAAUAGAUACUUGCAGUCCUUGUCAGAUAAUAUCAAGAUCAAAUUCUUCUAGAAAGAGACAUCUGUUUAUUCAUCCUAUGUGAGUUGAAUUUUUUCUGAGUCUUUCUGAAUAAUUUUAGAUUCUAGGCUACUUAAAGAUUAUAUUAUUAAAAUUUAAUUUUAUAAUUUUAGAGAGCUUAUUUAGCUAUAUAAAGAAUUAUGUCCAGAUUUUAUAUUUGUGUUCAUUGAGAAGGAUGUAAUACUACGCUCUAAAUCAAACCUUCUGGAGUAUCCUCUAUAUGUCUUAUUUACUUCUUGUUAAUAGUAGACUCAUUCAAAUAACUGAUGAAAGUAUUUUCUUCAACUGUGGUUUUUCUUUUUCAUUAUAGGCUUACAAAAACUUAGGUACAUCCAAAACUAAUUCAUUUAUGACAAUAACAUAAUACACUAAUGUAAAAUUACAGAAAAUAAAACAAAUAUUAGCAUACACAAAAAUUAUAGAUUUUUGAUUAUGCGAAUUUUCCUUUCAGCAUAUCACAUAAGCAUUUUUAUUCAUACUUAAAUAGUGUUUAUGGAAUUUAUGAGCAAGAUGACCUAGAAAACUUGGGAUAUUUUAGUAUUAAUAAUAUACAAACUAGAUUACUGCAUGAAAAUUCAAAAAAUUUAUUUUUUUUAUUCUUUUCUUAAUUGUCUUUCAAUGCAGCAUUUUAUAAAGUCCUAGCAAGGUAAAAGGUAUAGAAUAUCAUCUCACACAAACUUCGAAUUAAACAGACAAAAUCCUUGAGAUAUAGAAUAUGUCUCUACUUUAUCCAAGUGGUUUGAAUUGAAUUUCUUAUUCCACCAUGAGGAUAUUCUGAAAUGGGUUCAAUUGUUAAAGUGAUAUGCUCUCAGUAAGCUUCUUGCUGCUACUACUGUCAGUAUACUUUUUCCUUUGAAAAUAGCAAGCUAUAUCUUAACUUUAAUCAACUGAAAACCCUGCCCAUGGGAAACAUAGUAAAAUCCCUUCACAAUAAAAAAUAAUAUAAAUAAAUCCAUGGCAGGGUUUUGGAUUAAUUAUUUUUACCAAUUCAGUAAUUACUGUAAGAAUGCAUUUUACUAGGGGUAGAAGUUUGAUUGAAUGUUUUAAUUAUUGAAACAUAUUGCAAUUAAAAACUUCAUUUGUAACCAGAGAACCCUUUAACCUUUUCCCACAUACAUGAACUCUUAUUCUAUUGCUAGACUAGAUUCACUUGGCUUAAGGAAGCAACAAUUUUGAGUCUCUAAAUAUUUUAUUUAAAAUAAGUUAGUUUGGUGGAACUCAUAUUUCUGGAACUGGAAAUAAUUUAGGAUGUCAUGUGCCUGUUCCAUUUUCAGACAUGAGAAUUGUCAGACCAGAGACUCAGCAAGCAUCAAGCAAAAGUCAGAACUCAGUCUUAAUUCUUGUUCUAGUAUUCUUUAUAUCAUAAGGAAAUUAUUUUGUGAGUCUUCUGUCCUUUGGGGGAAAAUGCACAGAAAUGCAAGAGUUAGCUAAAAAUUUACAUCUGCAUUAAAUACCUAUGGAUGCUAUGAGACUCUCUGGAUUAGGAAUCCCUGCAUAAGUAAAUUCAAUAGACAUCUAGACAGAAAAGAAAGGAAGGAAGGAAGGAAGGAAG
rnacentral:lncRNA from 1 species